GUGGGGAAUAUUGGGCAAUGGGGGCAACCCUGACCCAGCAACGCCGCGUGAGGGAAGAAGGUUUUCGGAUUGUAAACCUCUGUCCUAUGGGAAGAAGGAAGUGACGGUACCAUAGGAGGAAGCCCCGGCUAACUACGUGCCAGCAGCCGCGGUAAUACGUAGGGGGCGAGCGUUGUCCGGAAUUACUGGGCGUAAAGGGUGCGCAGGUGGCCUGACAAGUCAGAUGUGAAAUACCGAUGCUUAACGUCGGGGCUGCAUUUGAAACUAUGAGGCUGGAGUGCAGGAGAGGGAAGCGGAAUUCCUAGUGUAGCGGUGAAAUGCAUAGAUAUUAGGAGGAACACCAGUGGCGAAGGCGGCUUUCUGGACUGUAACUGACACUGAGGCACGAAAGCGUGGGGAGCAAACAGGAUUAGAAACCCCAGUAGUCC
rnacentral:rRNA from 1 species